rnacentral:piRNA from 1 species
UCAGGAUAGACCACAAAGUGCUUGGUGAUU